CCUAAAGGCGCAAUGAAAGUAAAGGUUGUCCUUGUGUCGACCGAGGGAGGAUGAGUUGCGUUACGAUGACGGCUCCGCACUCCCGGGGCGUCUCAUUCUCAUUAUGAGGAGAGGCGCACCUAGAGCGUACACGUUGGGACCCGAAAGAUGGUGAACUAUGCCUGGUCAGGAUGAAGUCAGGGGAAACCCUGAUGGAGGUCCGUAGCGAUUCUGACGUGCAAAUCGAUCGUCGGAACUGGGUAUAGGGGCGAAAGACUAAUCGAACCAUCUAGUAGCUGGUUCCCUCCGAAGUUUCCCUCAGGAUAGCUGGCACUCGUUUAUUAUAUUAUAACGAGUCUCAUCUGGUAAAGCGAAUGAUUAGAGGCCUUGGGAUCGAAACGAUCUCAACCUAUUCUCAAACUUUAAAUGGGUGAGAUCUCUGGCUUGCUUGAAUAUUUGAAGCCAUGAGAUUUCGGAUCAGAGUGCCAAGUGG
rnacentral:rRNA from 1 species